UGGUGGCCGCCACCAGGGACAGUAGAGAGCCCGGGGUGGGAGGCGUGCUCGGUAGAGAAUCACGGCCGUCGGAAAACGAAGAUGGUCGCUUCAGCCACGGGCCUCGUUAGUAUUCCUCUGCCUCUGCUCACGGUAAGUACUAAACUAAUCAUUAACUCACUUAGCCAUAGCUUCUGUCAUUUGAAAUUGACCCUUAAGUUUCUGGAUCUUACCCUAAAGACAAAUUAUUUUGUAUAAUACCGAAAUAAAGAAUGGGUUCUCUCCCUGCAGACUAAAUUCCUUUCAUUUCAGACUCACAGAGGGAAUUCUAACGGUAGAAUUGGCCAAAAGCUGUUUGUGUGUGGGCAGGUAAUUUGCCGCAGGCAAAACAACAAUGCUAGCUAAUACUUCAGAGCACUCACUAUGUUGCAUUCAUGACUUGAGUACUUCGAGCGUAUUACUUUGAUCAAUCCUCACCACCUCACCGUGAUGCGCACUGCCCCCACCCCCAUUUUACAGAUGAGGAAACAAGCAUUGAGAGAUUAUGGAAUUUGCCCAAGUUCACACAGCUAGUAAACUGGUGGAGUCAGGGUUUGAACCCGGUCUGUAAAGCCUGUGCUUUUACCACUAAGUUAUCCUGCACCAUGUAUAUAUAUAUAUAAAUUGAUCUGAUAUAUAUGGAUUUUGGGUUUGGGACGGUCAAGGGGGAAGAAGGUUUUUGUGUGUUUGCUUGGGUGGUUAGGGAAGAAACUAGGGGAUGAAUGAUGGAUACCUAUUUCACUGUUUUCGAGCCACUUUAUGGCAGGAAGAGUGAGGAUGAGAGGCAGCGGGAGCUGAUUUGUGAAAGGCUGUGAGGCUCUGGGCUCUAGCAGGGCUGCCUUGGGUCUCAGACCAGUUGCCAACCAGUGUGCAGUGAGGGCCAUAUAUCACAGCUCGAGAGUGGCCACUGUGCUGUAGGCCACCGUGUAGCUCUCACAUCUGACAGCACUUAAUGGAACAGCAGCAGGCUCACAGGUGGGGGUGUCAUGAACUGCUGGGCAGUGGCCAAGAGGUGGGGGCAAAAUGCAGUGAAAGGUCUUGUGCCUGAGCACAUGUCAGGUGCAUCGUCUAGACAACCCAGACAUAACUGGGAAAGACUUCGAAGAGUGCAUCAGAAUUCCUGAAUGAGCAGGCUAGGGCUCAGAGCUGUGGAAGUGCUAAUGUUAUUGUGACUUCAUUUGUACUCACUGCUGGUGAGGUCUAGGACAUUUCAGUUUUACAUUAUUCAAGGCUGGUGUAGACCUGUAUUUAUUACACGGGAAGAGCCACACAGUCUAGUGAUAAGUGAUAGAAGAAGACCACAAGCUGACCAGGCAGGAGUCCCCAGGUCUGUUCAGGGACCUCGGCUCUGAGUGCAAAGGGGAAAUCUGGUCAGCUGGCCUGCUGUGCUCAGGCGGUCAGCUCACUGAGUUCCAUUCACUGAUAGGAUUUAAGACAUGGUAUUAAAACCCACAUUAAUAGAAAACAGAGUCUUUGGAAUAUCAAGGUUAAUUUCUUAUCCUAGAAAGGAAUCUUUGAUUUAUUAAUAAGAGCGUGAAGGACAGUAGGUAUAUCCCAAGCGAUCGGCUGCUUACAUCGGGAGCAUUUGCACCUGGGAUACAAAAGGAAGUUCACCUGUGGGGCAGGCACUCUUAGUGGCCACUCCCUCAGCUGUCCUUCCUCCAUCUUGCACACAGAACAGAGCUACUGGGCAGCUGUGUGCUUCUGGAAGGCAAGCCCCUGCCCUGCCCUACCCUAAGGGGUGAAUCUUGAUUAGUCUGCACCAGACCAGAUAGGAGAAAUCUUUUCCCUUUGCCAGGAAUUGUUUUAGGAAAGGGUCUACGGAGCAAUUCUGCCAAGUUUGGGAAGGUUUUCUUGUUUUUAAAAACAAUAGCCUCUCUUCUGGCUUUGGGACAUCAUGAAGUGAUGCUGGAGACUGCCACAGCCACCUUGCCUCCGUGCAGCCUGAUUCCAGGCAAGAGCCAAAGGUUUGCAGUGGCAGGACGAAGAAAAUACCAUGCGUCCUUGAAGAGGCUUUUGAACUUCUAGAGUAACCAGUCCUGAAGCCCACCCCUCCACCCCCUUCAAACCUUUUGUUUGAUUGAAACAUGUAUUUUUACAUUUUAAUAUUUCUGAAUGUGGGAGGCAUCUUUUGAACAAUGGUAUGUUAGUUUCAGUGAAGUACAGGAUGUGACAUUGUAAAAGGAAGUCUUACUGUUUAAGCUGUUCUUAAGUUGGGUGUUCUGUUAGAAUCAAAGUCAAUCUAAAUGAUAUGAUCAACAUUCUUCAAAUCUUUUUUUUUUAAUGACUGUUCCCUGGAAGAAUGGGUCACAGCAAAAUAAAGAAAAUGAACCGUCAUCAAAUUACCUUUUUGCAAAAAUAACAGCUAGUCUAUAGUGUUUACUCAGUGCCAGGCACUGCUCUAAACACCUUUUUAAAAAAACCACUUUAUGGUUGGAGAUCUGAUUGACGUACAAAAAGCUGCACAUACAGUGUAGAAACCUUGAUGACUCUGAGCACCUGUGUUUUGCAAGCUCAUUCGACUCUCACGGCAGCCCUAUCAUUAUCCUCCCAUUUUGCAAAGUACUGAAAGGUGAAAGUCAUUAGUAAGUGGAAGCGCUGAGAUCUGGACUGAGACAGUCUAGCUUCCAAACCUAUGGUCUUAACCGCUGUUCUGGGUUUCCUGGAAAAAUACGCUAUGAUGGUGGAACAUGCUUUGCUAACUCCAGUGACUUUAAUUCAUCCAGCUAUAAAACCCAUUAUAAAAGCAUAAAGGAUGUUCUUCCUUCGAUUUCUCAGGACUGUGAAAGAGUGCCACAAAUCCUGUUCAACAGAAAUCUGGGACCACUGAACAUAGCUUUAAAUUCCUGGAGAAAAAGAGACAGAACAACAGGGACCCUAUUUAUUGAGAAUAGAUGACCUUGGGUUGUGGUGGAUUCUUUCCUGUGUUGACCAGUAGCAGCCAUUUCACUAGCCUGCUCUGCAGAUCUGUUGCUUCUCAUAAAAUGAUUGUUUAAUGGGUUUUUUUUUUUAAGUGAAUUUGAAAAUGUAUAAUCCCUUUGACCUCCUCUGCUGUUUCUCGACAAGCUUCUCCUUCCCAGAAACCCCCACCUUCUCACAACUGCUGCAUCACCUUUCCUCAGGCCGUUUGUUCCCUUUGCCUUAACAUUUCCUUUCCCUCGUUCUCUAUUCUGUGUAGCAAAUCCCAGCUCCCACUUCAGUAUCUCCUCAGUGAAGUCUUACCUGAGAUGCUCUAACAGUCUGUCCUCUAGUUCUUUCCUCAGCGUUCCCCCGAUACGCCGGUUUAGCACAUGCUCUGCGACCAGGCGGACCUGGAGUCCUGUCCCAGCUCUGCUGACUCGAGCUGAGUAGCCCCAGGCAGAUGCCUUCACCUGUCUCUAAGCCUCCUUACCUGCAACCGGAGGAGGAGGGGACCCUUCCAAGCCUCGCAGGACAGUGGUAGGGUUGUGCAUGCAAAGCACCUAGCACGGGCCUGGCACGAGGGAAGCUCUCCGUAAAUGGAGCUCUUGUGUGAACAGACAUACUUUUACUGCUCACUGUUUUGUGGUUAUUUGUUUUCAUGUCUGGCUUUUCCACUAGACUGUGAGCAAAACAAGAAUCAAGUCUUCAUUCUUGUGUUUUGUUUUAUGUUUUAACUGUUUAAGUCAUCUUUAUUAAGGUGUAAUUUACAUUCAAUAAAAUGCAUCCAUUUAAAACGUACAGUGCAGUAGUCCAAUAAAUGUAUACAUCUUUGCAGCCACAGUCCCAGCAGGAUAUAGAACAUUUUCAUCACCCAGAGAUCCCCUUCACACCCUUUUACAGUCAGUCUCCAUCCAGCCCUGGCCCCAGGCAACCACUGAUCUAUAGAUUAGUUUUGCCUGUUCUGGAAUUUCAUGUAGACAGAGUCAUACAGUAGGUGCUCCUUUGUGUCUGGCUUCUCUCAAGUACCUGUGUUGUGGCUUUCAUCAGUAGUUUGUUUCCUUUUUAAUUACUGAAUGUUAUUCCAUUGUAUGAAUAUGCCACAAUAUUUUUACCCAUUUGCAUGUUGGUGGACAUUUGGGGGUGUCCGGUUUGGAGCUGUGAUUAAUAAAGCUACUAUGAACAUUUUUGUGCAAA